GAUGAACGCUAGCUACAGGCUUAACACAUGCAAGUCGAGGGGUAACGAGAGGAAAGCUUGCUUUCCUUGUCGACGACCGGCGCACGGGUGAGUAACGCGUAUCCAACCUGCCCCCAACUAGGGAAUAACCUUGCGAAAGUAAGACUAAUACCCUAUAAUUUCCUCAGAUGCCAUCUGACGAGGAAUAAAGAUUUAUCGGUUGUGGAUGGGGAUGCGUCGCAUUAGCUUGUUGGCGGGGUAACGGCCCGCCAAGGCAACGAUCAGUAGGGGUUCUGAGAGGAGGGUCCCCCACAUUGGAACUGAGACACGGUCCAAGCUCCUACGGGAGGCAGCAGUGAGGAAUAUUGGUCAAUGGGCGGAAGCCUGAACCAGCCAAGUAGCGUGCAGGAUGACGGCCCUAUGGGUUGUAAACUGCUUUUAUACAGGAAUAAAGUUAGCCACGUGUGGUUAUUUGUAGGUACUGUAUGAAUAAGGACCGGCUAAUUCCGUGCCAGCCGCCGCGGUAA
rnacentral:rRNA from 1 species